rnacentral:rRNA from 1 species
GAUGAACGCUGGCGGCGUGCCUAAUACAUGCAAGUCGAACGCUAAGGGCAGUAGCUUGCUCUUUCCGCAUGAGUUGCGUACGUGUGAGUAACGCGUAGGUACCCUCACUGUUAGCGGGGGAUAACUAUUGGAAACGAUAGCUAAUACCGCAUAACACUAGCUUUUGCAUGAUAUCUACUUAAAAGGUGCAAUUGCACCACUACCAGAUGGACCUGCGUUGUAUUAGCGAGUUGGUGAGGUAACGGCUCACCCAGGCGACGAUACAUAGCCGACCAGGGAGGGUGAUCUGCCACGCUGGGAAGGAGACACGGCCCAGAUGGGUACGGGAGGCAGCAGAAGGGAAUAUGGGGCAAUGGACGGAAGACUGACCGAGAAACGCCGAGUGAGGGAAGAAGGUUUUCGGAGUGUAAAGCGCCGUUGUAAGGGAAGAAAGAGUGUUAGAGUGGAAAGGACACGAUGGGACGGGAACUGACCAGAGAGGGACGGCUAACUUCGUG